rnacentral:rRNA from 1 species
AUUGAACGCUGGCGGCAUGCCUUACACAUGCAAGUCGAACGGCAGCAUGAUCUAGCUUGCUAGAUUGAUGGCGUGUGGCGAACGGGUGAGUAAUACAUCGGAACGUGCCCUGUAGUGGGGGAUAACUAGUCGAAAGAUUAGCUAAUACCGCAUACGACCUGAGGGUGAAAGUGGGGGACCGCAAGGCCUCAUGCUAUAGGAGCGGCCGAUGUCUGAUUAGCUAGUUGGUGAGGUAAAGGCUCACCAAGGCGACGAUCAGUAGCUGGUCUGAGAGGACGAUCAGCCACACUGGGACUGAGACACGGCCCAGACUCCUACGGGAGGCAGCAGUGGGGAAUUUUGGACAAUGGGCGAAAGCCUGAUCCAGCAAUGCCGCGUGUGUGAAGAAGGCCUUCGGGUUGUAAAGCACUUUUGUCCGGAAAGAAAUGGCUCUGGUUAAUACCUGGGGUCGAUGACGGUACCGGAAGAAUAAGGACCGGCUAACUACGUG